CCUGUCUAUGACUUAAAUGAAAAGUAGAUACCAAGGUGGCAAUCGAGGAUACAUUAAACUGUAUUGGUUCCUGUCUAUGACUUAAAUAGAAAGUAGAUACCAAGGUGGCAAUCGAGGAUACAUUAAACUGUAUUGGUUCCUGUCUAUGACUAAAAUGAAAAGUAGAUACCAAGGUGGCAAUCGAGGAUACAUUAAACUGUAUUGGUUCCUGUCUAUGACUUAAAUAGAAAGUAGAUACCAAGGUGGCAAUCGAGGAUACAUUAAACUGUAUUGGUUCCUGUCUAUGACUAAAAUGGAAAGAAGAUACCAAGGUAGCAAUCGCA